rnacentral:rRNA from 1 species
AGCUCCAAUAGCGUAUAUUAAAGUUGUUGCGGUUAAAAAGCUCGUAGUUGGAUUUCUGCUGAGGACGACCGGUCUGCCCUUUGGGUUGGUAUCUGGCUCGGCCUUGGCAUCUUUUUGGGAACGUAGCUGCAAUUCACUUUGUGGUUGCGGUACCCAGGACUUUUACUUUGAGGAAAUUAGAGUGUUUCAAGCAGGCAUACGCCUUGAAUACAUUAGCAUGGAAUAAUAAGAUAGGACCUCGGUUCUAUUUUGUUGGUUUCUAGAGCUGAGGUAAUGAUUAAUAGGGAUAGUUGGGGGCAUUCGUAUUUAAC